rnacentral:rRNA from 1 species
GAUGAACGCUGGCGGCGUGCCUAAUACAUGCAAGUCGAGCGAACGGACGAGAAGCUUUCUUCUCUGAUGUUAGCGUCGGACGGGUGAGUAACACGUGGAGAACCUACCUAUAAGACUGGGAUAACUUCGGGAAACCGGAGCUAAUACCGGAUGAUAUUUUUAACCGCAUGGUUCAAAAGUGAAAGACGGUUUUGCUGUCACUUAUAGAUGGAUCCGCGCUGCAUUAGCUAGUUGGUAAGGUAACGGCUUACCAAGGCAACGAUGCGUAGCCGACCUGAGAGGGUGAUCGGCCACACUGGAACUGAGACACGGUCCAGACUCCUACGGGAGGCAGCAGUAGGGAAUCUUGCGCAAUGGGCGAAAGCCUGACGCAGCAACGCCGCGUGAGUGAUGAAGGUCUUCGGAUCGUAAAACUCUGUUAUUAGGGAAGAACAUAUGUGUAAGUAACUGCGCACAUCUUGACGGUACCUAAUCAGAAAGCCACGGCUAACUACGUG